rnacentral:rRNA from 1 species
GUCCACGCCCUAAACGAUGCUGACUAGUUGUUCGGGAAUUUAUUCCUGAGUAACGUAGCUAACGCGUGAAGUCAGCCGCCUGGGGGAGUACGGUCGCAAGAUUAAAAACUCAAAAGGAAUUGACGGGGACCCGCACAAGCGGUGGAUGAUGUGGAUUAAUUCGAUGCAACGCGAAAAAACCUUACCUACCCUUGACAUGCCACUAACGAAGUAGAGAUACAUUAGGUGCCCGUAAGGGAAAGUGGACACAGGUGCUGCAUGGCUGUCGU